rnacentral:rRNA from 1 species
GACGAACGCUGGCGGCGUGCUUAACACAUGCAAGUCGAACGGAAAGGCCCUGCUUUUGUGGGGUGCUCGAGUGGCGAACGGGUGAGUAACACGUGAGUAACCUGCCCUUGACUUUGGGAUAACUUCAGGAAACUGGGGCUAAUACCGGAUAGGAGCUCCUGCUGCAUGUUGUGGGUUGGAAAGUUUCGGCGGUUGGGGAUGGACUCGCGGCUUAUCAGCUUGUUGGUGUGGUAGUGGCUUACCAAGGCUUUGACGGGUAGCCUGCCUGAGAGGGGUACCGGCCACAUGGGGACUGAGAUACGGACCAGAAGGCUACGGGAGGCAGCAGGGGGGAAUAUUGCACAAUGGGGGGAAGCCUGAUGCAGCAACGCCGGGUGCGGGAUGACGGGCUUCGGGUUGUAAACAGAUGUGGCAGGUGACGAAGCGUGAGUGACGGUAAUGGGUAAAGAAGCACCGGCUAACUACGUG